UUUGUCCCCCACAUUUUGCCGAGCCAACAAACUCUGGGGAAGGAGGGUACCAAACGCAGGAGAGGGAGAAGCCACCAACGCCGAAAUCCUGUUUCUGAACAAGCCCCGAGCAGAGCGGCGAUUCGGAGGGGAGCCUGAACUCCCUGACGGCUGCGCGGCUCGGGUCCAAGCAGCAUGAGGGAAAAAUCGACGCUGGCCUCCGAUGUAGCUUCUCACAGAGAUCGUCGGCAAAAUCUGGAGGCAGUUUCUGUUCAAGCGGUGUAGGAAUAACUCAUCCAGCUUUGGAAGAGCAAGCAGAGAGAAUUCCUGAGAGGGUGCAGAAAUUCAAGUCCGAGGAGCAGAGGAGUUGUGGAGGAAGGCAUGAACCUGACAGUUAUGGAUCUGCAUCCUGUUCACGUGGCUGGGAUCUCAGAGGCAUUACAUGACUGCAGCACUUGACACACUGCCAUGAGGCUCGUCCGGUAAAGCUCUAGUUGUGGAUGGAAGGAAGGAAAUCAAUGAAUCACCAAGAAUCAGUGCACAGCCCUUCCUGCAUUCUUUUGAGAGGUUCCACUAGGCCUCUGACUAAUGUAAGUACUGAAAACACACGUAAGACAUAAUUACUG
rnacentral:lncRNA from 1 species